CUAGUGCUACAACCGCACUUAACAGGUCUUAAAAUCGCAAGUCUGCGUACCUUUAAAGGCGAGUCUUAGUACAACA
rfam:Haloplasma contractile SSD-17B Contig3, whole genome shotgun sequence.